AGGAUGCAUGGAAGCAUCUGUUUCCACAUCAGUGAGCAGUGAGUCAGCCUCCCACGGAGGAGACAGUGUAAAGCUAACGCUACAUGGAGACACAGCAGCAUCUGCAAUAGCGUUACGGCUCCUGAUCUUACCUGCACAGUGAAGGUACGACCACCGACCCGAUCCCUGGCCUCCAGGACAACGGGGUUCAGUCCGUUGGCUUUCAACAACUUCGCUGCACUCAAACCUACAGGUGGACAGAAAAAUAGAGAGAGGGAAAUCACCAGAAAGAGGGAGCAGCCUGGAUGCUCUGCCUGUGAGGACGGUCGUCACAUGUGGAUCGUGACACAGCAAUCGUAUAUCAUACGCCCUCUCUCUCUCUCUCUCUCUCUCUCUCUCUCUCUCUCUCUCUCUGUCUUUCCCUCUCUCUCACACAUGCACCAGCUGACGCACCGACACGCUCCACAGCGGCAAAUGGGAAUUCCAGCCCUGGAUGGCUCUGCUCGCCCCAUCAGGAGAGAGCUGACCAAAAGCUGCAGCCAGUUUUACGAGUGCUUUGGUCCUGAGCAGAACAGCAGUAAAGUGGAACGAGGACAAGACAAGAGAACCAGAUUCUUUACAAGCCUCCAUGUUCUGCUUCUGCUGAGACAGAGACAACAGAAAGCGGCCACUCAAACCACAUCGACAAAACAUUGCAUGCUGAGAGGAGACAUCAGCAGGGAGAGUGAUUCACGAGUCACAUGCUAGUCAACGUGGCGGUUGAAGUUCGACAACUAAUUUCUUGAACGCUUAUACAACUAGAAGAUGUUAAUGGCCUCUUCUACAGCAUGUAGAUCAAUUACCGAUUAAAUCCAAUAAAGGCAAUGAAACUAUCAUGUG